UACGUAGGAUGCAAGCGUUGUCCGGAAUCACUGGGUUUAAAGGGUGCGUAGGCGGCUUGAUAAGUCAGGGGUGAAAGCCCGCAGCUUAACUGCGGAACUGCCUUUGAUACUGUCGAGCUUGAAAGAGGUUGAGGUCAGCGGAACGUGACAUGUAGCGGUGAAAUGCAUAGAUAUGUCACAGAACACCGAUUGCGAAGGCAGCUGGCUGGACCUACUUUGACGCUGAGGCACGAAAGCGUGGGGAGCGAACAGG
rnacentral:rRNA from 1 species